rnacentral:rRNA from 1 species
UACGAAGGGGGCUAGCGUUGCUCGGAAUCACUGGGCGUAAAGGGUGCGUAGGCGGGUCUUUAAGUCAGGGGUGAAAUCCUGGAGCUCAACUCCAGAACUGCCUUUGAUACUGAGGAUCUUGAGUACGGGAGAGGUGAGUGGAACUGCGAGUGUAGAGGUGAAAUUCGUAGAUAUUCGCAAGAACACCCGUGGCGAAGGCGGCUCUCUGGGACGGUACUGACGCUGAGACGCGAAAGCGUGGGGAGCGAACAGG